rnacentral:rRNA from 1 species
UAAUACAGAGGGUGCGAGCGUUGUUCGGAAUUACUGGGCGUAAAGCGCGCGCAGGCGGAUCCUGCAAGUCCGGAGUGAAAUCUCACCGCUCAACGGUGAGGCUGCUUUGGAUACUGCGGAUCUGGAGACCGGUAGAGGCUGGUAGAAUUGCAGGUGUAGCGGUGGAAUGCGUAGAGAUCUGCAAGAAUACCCGUGGCGAAGGCGGCCAGCUGGGCCGGUUCUGACGCUGAGGCGCGAAAGCGUGGGGAGCAAACAGGAUUAGAUACCCUGGUAGUCCACGCCGUAAACGAUGGGCACUAGGUGCUGGGGGGAGCGACCCCGUCAGUGCCGUAGCUAACGCGAUAAGUGCCCCGCCUGGGGAGUACGGCCGCAAGGCUG